GCGGUGGAGCAUGUGGUUUAAUUCGAAGCAACGCGAAGAACUUACCAGGUCUUGACAUCCCCUCGACAACCCGAGAGAUCGGGCGUUCCCCUUCGGGGACAGGGUGACAGGUGGUGCAUGGUUGUCGUCAGCUCGUGUCGUGAGAUGUUGGGUUAAGUCCCGCAACGAGCGCAACCCCUAUUGUUAGUUGCCAUCAUUCAGUUGGGCACUCUAGCGAGACUGCCGGUAAUAAACCGGAGGAAGGUGGGGAUGACGUCAAAUCAUCAUGCCCCUUAUGACCUGGGCUACACACGUGCUACAAUGGUUGGUACAACGAGUUGCGAGUCGGUGACGGCGAGCUAAUCUCUUAAAGCCAAUCUCAGUUCGGAUUGUAGGCUGCAACUCGCCUACAUGAAGUCGGAAUCGCUAGUAAUCGCGGAUCAGCACGCCGCGGUGAAUACGUUCCCGGGCCUU
rnacentral:rRNA from 1 species